rnacentral:sRNA from 1 species
UCUUGUGAUGAAUAUAAUCAGCGCGUUGAGCAUUGCACUUUAUGUGGCAACAGCUGGUCGGCUUUCGUUAGCUGAUGAUGGCGGUACUUUUUGUACGAGAGGAGAUGGACUGCCUGGAAAAUGUAUAGAUAUUGAAGACUGUCAAAAAAUAGACGACCUAAACCAACAUAUUAGAAGGAAACAGGGAACACCUGCUGACCAAGAAUACAUGAGGAAUUCACGUUGCCCCAUUUAUAAAGAGAAUUAUGUAUGUUGUGAAGAAGAAGAAGUAUCCGAGGGAGUUAAAAUAUUGUUGGAACAGGAUUGUGG